rnacentral:SRP_RNA from 1 species
GGCCGGGCCCUGUGCGACGAGCACUUGUGAACCCCGUGAGGUCCGGAAGGAAGCAGCGGUAAGCAGGGACGUUCGGGUGCCGCAGGAUCACCUGGCCCUU